rnacentral:rRNA from 1 species
GUCUAUGGCCGUACUACCCCGAAGGAGUCUGAUCUCAGAAGUUAAGCAGGGUCAGGCCUGGUUAGUACUUAGAUGGGAGAAAUAAACACUCUAAGGAACAAUGGCUGAAGGACC